rnacentral:rRNA from 1 species
CCUACGGGUGGCAGCAGUGAGGAAUAUUGGUCAAUGGGCGCGAGCCUGAACCAGCCAAGUAGCGUGAAGGAUGACUGCCCUACGGGUUGUAAACUUCUUUUAUAAAGGAAUAAAGUGUGUCACGUUUUCCUUUUUGUUUGUCCUUUAUGCAUAAGUCUCGGCUAACUCCGUGCCAGCAGCCGCUGUAAUACGGAGGAUCCUCGCUUUAUCCGGAUUUAUUGUGUUUAAAGUUAGCGUAGAUUGGUUGAUAAGUCAGUUGUGAAAGUUUUCGUCUCAAACGUAAAAUUGCAAUUGAUACUGGCAGUCUUGAGUACAGUUGAGGGAGGCGGAAUUAGUGGUGUAGCGGUGAAAUGCUUAGAUAUCACGAAGAACGCCGAUUGCGAAGGCAGCUUACCAAACUGCCACUGACAUUGAUGCUCGAAAGUGUGGGUAUCAAACAGGAUUAGAUACCCCAGUAGUG